CAGAGAACAUGCCCUUUGGGGUAUAUCUCCCACCCUUUGUUUACACACCUUUGUUGCUUUGGCAGGCCCGUCUAAUGACCACUGGCCCAGGCUGGUCAGCGCCUGCCAGAGAACCCACAAACUCUUUUAUUUUGUUGUCUGACCUCUAAAAUCAUUUA
rnacentral:misc_RNA from 1 species